GUCGAGCGAGAUCUUCGGAUCUAGCGGCGGACGGGUUAGUAACGCGUGGGAACGUACCCAAAGGUAGGGAAUAGCCACUGGAAACGGUGAGUAAUACCCUAUGUGCCCUUCGGGGGAAAGAUUUAUCGCCUUUGGAUCGGCCCGCGUUAGAUUAGAUAGUUGGUGGGGUAACGGCCUACCAAGUCUACGAUCUAUAGCUGGUUUUAGAGGAUGAUCAGCAACACUGGGACUGAGACACGGCCCAGACUCCUACGGGAGGCAGCAGUGGGGAAUCUUGGACAAUGGGCGCAAGCCUGAUCCAGCCAUGCCGCGUGUGUGAUGAAGGCCUUAGGGUCGUAAAGCACUUUCGCCAGAGAUGAUAAUGACAGUAUCUGGUAAAGAAACCCCGGCUAACUCCGUGCCAGCAGCCGCGGUAAUACGGAGGGGGUUAGCGUUGUUCGGAAUUACUGGGCGUAAAGCGUACGUAGGCGGAUCAGAAAGUAUGGGGUGAAAUCCCAGGGCUCAACCCUGGAACUGCCUCAUAAACUCCUGAUCUAGAGUUCGAGAGAGGUGAGUGGAAUUCCGAGUGUAGAGGUGAAAUUCGUAGAUAUUCGGAGGAACACCAGUGGCGAAGGCGGCUCACUG
rnacentral:rRNA from 1 species